UACGGAAGGCAGCAGUGGGGAAUAUUGCACAAUGGGCGCAAGCCUGAUGCAGCCAUGCCGCGUGUAUGAAAAAGGCCUUCGGGUUGUAAAGUACUUUCAGUCGUGAGGAAGGUGUUAAGGUUAAUAACCUUAGCAAUUGACGUUAGCGACAGAAGAAGCACCGGCUAACUCCGUGCCAGCAGCCGCGGUAAUACGGAGGGUGCGAGCGUUAAUCGGAAUUACUGGGCGUAAAGGGCACGCAGGCGGUUAAUUAAGUUGGAUGUGAAAUCCCCGGGCUUAACCUGGGAAUGGCAUUCAAGACUGGUUAGCUAGAGUCUUGUAGAGGGGGUAGAAUUCCAUGUGUAGCGGUGAAAUGCGUAGAGAUGUGGAGGAAUACCGGUGGCGAAGGCGGCCCCUGGGACAAAGGACUGACGCUCAUGUGCGAAAGCGUGGGGAGCGAAACAGGGAUUAGAU
rnacentral:rRNA from 1 species